UACGUAGGGUGCAAGCGUUGUCCGGAAUUAUUGGGCGUAAAGAGCUCGUAGGCGGUCCGUCACGUCGGCUGUGAAAACCUGGGGCUCAACCCCGGGCCUGCAGCCGAUACGGGCGGACUAGAAUUCGGUAGGGGAGACUGGAAUUCCUGGUGUAGCGGUGAAAUGCGCAGAUAUCAGGAGGAACACCGGUGGCGAAGGCGGGUCUCUGGGCCGAUAUUGACGCUGGAGGAGCGAAAGCGUGGGGAGCGAACAGG
rnacentral:rRNA from 1 species